UUGAAAAACAGUUAUUGCAUGCCCAAGAAGUCACACUGUAAGCUAACAAUUGCUCUCUGUUGACAUUUGUUUAAUGUUGGAAUGGAUGGUCGAAAGGUAGCCCUACCAUGCCCAUCAUCAUUAGACAACCAAGGAAUGUAGGUGGACUAGGAUAUUUUCCUUCUUUUUUCCAGAUUGAUAAGUGUCCAAGGAUGGCCGGCGGUCAGAGGUCCUGUUGUGUGUCUGUAGAAUCUUACUCAGCAGGUGCAGACCGCACUGGGGUCCACGGGUUGUAUAGACAGAUGCACUUCAGGAAAGACUGACUGCUUUGCAGACUCAAGCUACUCUGUCCACUGAGGGAGAUGCAAGAUCUUCAGCCAAUGUUUUCUCAGCUCCAGCCACUGAGUCAGGCACCCCAGGCCCUCAGUCCAGCUUCGGUCCACACCCCUAUUUUUGCAUGUGCCUCUGCUCUGCAGGACCUGACCCCAGAUUCUGAGCAAACGUCACUGUUGGUGGAAGAGCACGAUGAAGUAGAAGUGGCUGCCGCAGAGGAAGAGGAGGGCGUUGACCCCACAGUGCUUGAUAUGGCUCCACCAUCUCCUGAUGACGACACAAUAAGGCACACCUUUGGCUCUUGGCACAGCUCCCAGGCACAUACUUUACUCCUGUACCCUCCACUGCUGCCCAUGACACAAGCUCCAACACUGGCAUGACCUCCAUGACCUCAACCACACUGCUGACCCUGGCACGACCUCCAUCACUGCUGACCCUGGCACGACCUCUACUAACUCCUACCCUGGCACCAUCUCCACCACCGCUGGUACCUCCUCCUCGCGGGUUGCAGGGAUACAGCCUACUGGACCUACUGAAUUGCACAAAACUAUGGCUGUUGAAGACCAGUGUCCAUGAAUACCAGCUCAUUGACAGACUUCCAGAAUAUUUGCUUGGGCUCCUGGAUCAGACAUCUCUUCCUCACUAAUCACAAGGCAAAAUAGUAGCCCUUUGGAAAAGACUGGAUGAACGUGACAAGCGGGUUGCUGUAUGCUGCACGGCACCAAGACAAACUCCUGUGUGGACAUUUUAAAAUGCCAAAGAAGCCUUCAAAGACAUCAGUUGUGGAGAGCACAACCUGUAGCAUCUUGGAUGCAAGCAGUACACCUGUGGCUGGACUGUUGUCAGGUUGUGGAGACAGUUGGUAUUAGACUGUGUGAUGAGCACAGACUAUUUGAAAGGUUGGAUAGUCUCUGUAAUGUUAAUGGGGUUUUUUUUGUUGGGCGGGGUCAUUAUUGGGAUUUGAUCUGAUUUUUAUAAUCACGUAAUGGUGCAACAUAUGUCUUAUUUUCUUUUAAAUGGCCUAUGGAUACUUGACCCGGAUUUUCCUCUGUCUGGACCAUGCACAGUGACUUUUUGAGACUCAGACUGUACCUAUGAAACAUGUGAUGGACCACUCUUAUUCUCUCAUCACCAACCUCAGCGGUGUGUGUGUGUCUGUGUGUCAGUGUUUUUAUAUAUGAAUGGUACUGGACACCUUAUUUUCCCUCAGGAUUAAUGGAAAAUGGAAAAUGUUCUGCUCUACUCUAAAGAAGGAAUUAAAGUUGCCAUUGUCAGCUGAUGCUGGCUUUUUUGUUAACAUUAAAUAUGGUUAAAAAAAUAAAAUUUCUACUUAAUUACA